AAAAUGGUUGCAUAUGUUAAUUUUGAAAAUAGGCUUUGAAAUAUAGCUACUCUACAAAAUACAGACACGAUAAUAAUAGCACAUAAGUUUGUGUGUGUUUGUGUGUAUGUAUGGGUAGG
rnacentral:miRNA from 1 species